UGGGGAAUAUUGCACAAUGGGCGCAAGCCUGAUGCAGCAACGCCGCGUGAACGAUGAAGGUCUUCGGAUCGUAAAGUUCUGUUGCAGGGGAAGAUAAUGACGGUACCCUGUGAGGAAGCCCCGGCUAACUACGUGCCAGCAGCCGCGGUAAUACGUAGGGGGCUAGCGUUAUCCGGAUUUACUGGGCGUAAAGGGUGCGUAGGUGGUCUUUCAAGUCGGUGGUUAAAGGCUACGGCUCAACCGUAGUUAGCCUCCGAAACUGGAAGACUUGAGUACAGGAGAGGAAAGUGGAAUUCCCAGUGUAGCGGUGAAAUACGUAGAUAUUGGGAGGAACACCAGUAGCGAAGGCGGCUUUCUGGACUGCAACUGACACUGAGGCACGAAAGCGUGGGUAGCAAACAGG
rnacentral:rRNA from 1 species